rnacentral:rRNA from 1 species
UCGUGGAUCGAUUUGUCUGGUUUAUUCCGAUAACGAGCGAGACUCUAGCCUACUAAUAGUAACGAGAUUAUCAAUGUCUCAGUUGCUUCUUAGAGGGAUUUUCGGUGUUUAGCCGCACGAGAUUGAGCAAUAACA